rnacentral:rRNA from 1 species
UACGUAGGGCGCAAGCGUUGUCCGGAAUUAUUGGGCGUAAAGGGCUCGUAGGCGGUUUGUCGCGUCGGGAGUGAAAACACGGGGCUUAACCCCGUGCCUGCUUCCGAUACGGGCAGACUAGAGGUAUGCAGGGGAGAACGGAAUUCCUGGUGUAGCGGUGAAAUGCGCAGAUAUCAGGAGGAACACCGGUGGCGAAGGCGGUUCUCUGGGCAUGACCUGACGCUGAGGAGCGAAAGUGUGGGGAGCGAACAGG